rnacentral:lncRNA from 1 species
AAAUUUAGAUCUCUAGAUGCCUUAGACGUCGACCAAGCGACGUACGCUACGUUUGUUGUUCCGUCAUUGUUGGAGAAAUUGCCAGACUCGCCGAGAAUAACGAUGACGAGAGGAGAAGAGCAUCACGAGUGGGAUAUGGAUCGAAAAGCUUUUGGAUGUACUUACCAACGAAAGCCAGACAGGGAGGAACGACAACGAAAGAACGGGACUAAUAAUCGUCAUAACUGGAGUACAAUGUUCGCUGGAAGGGAAUCAAACUGUGCAGGCGGCUUUCUUUAACUGCCCAGGACAUCGACACGAAGACUGCAAGAAGGUAACAGACAUUAAUGAACGCAAAAAACUUCUAGGUAAAUAUGGUAGAUGCUAUAACUGUUUAAGAAAAGGACAUUUGGCUAGGGAAUGUAAGACAAUUAAGUGUCAUGCAUGUAAAGGCACGCAUCACAAAGCAUUGUGUGGUGCGGAAAUAAAUGGGAAUAGCCCUGUAGACGGUGAAAAUGAAGUAAAUAUAGUUAAUAAUCAUGUAGCAACAAGUACUAGAGUCUUACAGACGGCACAAGCGCAUGCACUAGGUAAAAG